rnacentral:tRNA from 3 species
GGCUAUGUAGCUCAGGGGUUAGAGCAUCGCAUUCAUAAUGCGAGAGUCGGUGGUUCAAAUCCACCCAUAGCCACCA